rfam:Cladophialophora psammophila CBS 110553 aczJe-supercont1.14, whole genome shotgun sequence.
GGUCCCUUAGAUCAGUUGGUUAGAUCGUCGUGCUAAUAACGCGAAGGUCGCGAGUUCGAUCCUCGUAGGGACCA